AGAGACUGGGAACCGCGUCCCCUUAGGUACCUGUUGGAGCCAAGUUGUCUCUACUCCCACUGCGGGCGACUUACCCUGGCCUGGUUCUUUUCGAAGGCCGUAACUCUCCUCAGAUGCGGUUUCCUGUGCUGACCUGGGAGAGUCAGCCAUCAGCCGCGCAGCCGGGGGCACCGCAGCCCGGCGGCCCUGGAACCUUCCAGUUAUGUUAAUGGGCACCUGAGUUAGCAGUUUAUCCGGAGUUUCUUUGAGACCUAAUAAGGUCUUGGCCAGCCUGGUAUGCAUGCGGUGUGAGCAUCUAUCAGUUUUGUUCCAUGAAACGUUCCCGGUGCUUUCUGAAGAAUCUCUUUCCCACAUGCAGGUCUCCCACUGCUCAGCCAGUUCUGCUCACCUGUGAAUGAGAACUAAGAGCCCUGGGUGAUGAAGACAGAGGAGACUGUAGCCAAGGAUCCAGACUUGGAGAAGAACAAUAAGAAGAAUGGAUGUUUCCCUGGUAAAUGCUCCCCAGGUCAGUGUCCUGUCCAUAUUUUUUUUUUGAAAACUCCUCUCAUUAUUUAAACCAUUCGCAACUUGUAAUGUUAUCUAUAGUGUUUGUUUUUUCUCAUUUAUCUUUGUUCUCCCCCAAUAAUAAAAAUUAUAUCUUUAGUUCUUUUUCACUUAUAAUGGGACAAGUACAGAUAUGUCCAAUUAUAUUUUUACUGGAUUUUAUGCUGUGUGGACAUAAAUGUUCAAGGAUCAAUGGCCUGCGGUUCUGAAAGAGAAUGUAUUGUAAUUGAUGCUCAAAGAAUAUAUUGAUGGUUAAUUUCUUCAUUGGAUGGACUUGUGUCAUUUAUUAUUUCUGGGGACAGAUCUCCUGUGCCACUUAAACUGCAUUUCAGGAAUAGUCAGGUUUCCAGAAACAACCUUCAACAGCAAUGUGAAUGUAGAUCUGCAAAUACAUGGACAUUGAUGUUACUGAGAAAUGUAUGGAAGAAUAGAAUUUAUGGAAUUGUCGAAUUAGAAGACUAUUCACUGUCUUGAAUGAAACUUGAUAGAAAACAUUUCGGCUCCCUAGAGACAUAGAUGAUGAACGGAAUAUGUGUCUUUCUCUUACCGUAGGAUUGAUGUGUUUGUGAGGAGAUGCAGGUUGUAGUAUUCUGGUAUCUCUUUUGAACAUUUUAUGUCACAUAGUCAUCUUGGGUUUGUUGACACUUGAAAUCUUUGUCUCAGGAGAGACACUGCCUAGUGCUCAGUGUGCUCAGUUCUCAAUAUACAGAUGAUUGUUUUCUUCUUCCCUUUUGUUUCAUUUUUUAGGAGUAAUAUAAGCACUACUGUGUGUGCCUUUAUAUUACAGCACAUGCCAUAUAUUAGUAAGAAUUUUCUGGAAAAUAUUAUCUUGGUACUAUGCAUAAGCCAUCACAUUUUAAGCAUACAUGAAUGUCCCUCUUAAUUUGUUCUCUUCUUCAGCAAAAUGAAUGUUCCAUCCACCCUAUGUUUUUCUCUCCUCCAGUCUAUGUAUUACAUAGGGGAAAACUGAAGGACUGUGGCAAUAUUUCUUUACAAUAAUAUUUUAUUUGAAUACCUAAGUGUUUAUCUUCAUAUUUUUAUGUACAUUGAAUGAUACCAUAUGCCCCCAAAUCCUGAGUUUAGCAUCCAGCCCUUGGGACUGAGGUUAAACAUGAUAGUGAGCUACAAUGUGUGUAGAAACAAAAGAAGAUUAAGUCAGGGCUACACAGAGAAACUCUGUCUCG
rnacentral:lncRNA from 1 species